UACGAAGGGGGCUAGCGUUGCUCGGAAUUACUGGGCGUAAAGCGCACGUAGGCGGAUUGUUAAGUCGGGGGUGAAAUCCUGGAGCUCAACUCCAGAACUGCCUUCGAUACUGGCGAUCUCGAGUUCGGGAGAGGUGAGUGGAACUGCGAGUGUAGAGGUGAAAUUCGUAGAUAUUCGCAAGAACACCAGUGGCGAAGGCGGCUUACUAAGGUGCAAUUGACGCUGAGGCACGAAAGCGUGGGGAUCAAACAGG
rnacentral:rRNA from 1 species